rnacentral:lncRNA from 1 species
AUUGGCUAUAAAGUGUGCUAGUGCGUGCGUUUCCAUGUAUAACUUGUAUGUAGUGAGUGUAAUCGCAGUACAAUAAUAAUAUGGCGACCUUCGUGAGACCUCGUCAUCAUCACCCGGAAAUUGCUGUAUAGAUGUAAACGCGCGUUACAAUUUUCCGAAGCAGGAAGUAUAAACGCAGCGGCCAAGGGCCUUGAAGACUGCAGUAGUGGAAUGCCCUCGCAAGGGUAUCUGAAUGUCGGGCUUUGGUGCCAGUCGUCGCCCCCAGUCCCUCCACGCCCCUCUAUGCUGCCCUCGUCCUGCACUUCUAUUAGAGACUAAUUUUAUAUUUUAUAAUAAGUAAUUAUAGCCUAAAUAAUACAUACUCCUAAUUUAAAUAAUUAUCGAAAAAUAAAAUAAGUUUACUUUCUGAGAUAAAUAUUGUAACAGUGAUACCAAUUUAUUUACCUUUAUAUAUACUAUGUAACAAUUAUAAUGGCUAUGGUCACUCAUUUCGGAUUAAAUUUGCUAUUAAGCCUUCGAUCAAAAAAA